GACAUUUUACCAUAAAAAGAAAAAGAAAAAAAAAAGUGUUUAUGACAAGUAGCAACAAGCAUGUGUUUGAAGAUAGCAUGAGCAUAUAGAAAUAUACGAUGGACCCAUUAGAAACGUGAUUGACGGCUAAAUAUGGGCCAGAAAUGAAGUCGUAAUGCAAAACCCAUUACAAAUGGCCGAAAGAAAAACAAAACAAAAGUAAAAGAAUCAUAACCUAUAAUAUCAUAGCCACUCCCUAUAGCAUCUUUGUGAUGUUCCACGUGUUGA
rnacentral:lncRNA from 1 species